rnacentral:rRNA from 1 species
CUACGGGGUGCUGCAGUGAGGAAUUUUGCGCAAUGGGCGAAAGCCUGACGCAGCAACGCCGCGUGAGUGAUGAAGGCCUUCGGGUCGUAAAGCUCUGUCAAGUGGGAAGAACCUAUGUAAUGUUAAUAUCAUUAUAUACUGACGGUACCACUGAAGGAAGCACCGGCUAACUCCGUGCCAGCAGCCGCGGUAAUACGGGGGGUGCAAGCGUUAUUCGGAAUCAUUGGGCGUAAAGGGCACGUAGGCGGCCUGGUAAGUCAGAUGUGAAAGCCCGGGGCUUAACCCCGGAAGUGCAUUUGAUACUGUCAGGCUUGAGUAUGGGAGAGGGAAGUGGAAUUCCUGGUGUAGAGGUGAAAUUCGUAGAUAUCAGGAGGAACACCGGUGGCGAAGGCGACUUCCUGGACCAAUACUGACGCUGAGGUGCGAAGGCGUGGGUAGCAAACAGGAUUAGAUACCCCCGUAGUC